rnacentral:rRNA from 1 species
GCCUUAGCGGCAGCCUACACAUGCAGUCGAGCGGCAGCGGAAGUAGCUUGCUACUUUGCCGGCGAGCGGCGGACGGGUGAGUAAUGUCUGGGAAACUGCCUGAUGGAGGGGGAUAACUACUGGAAACGGUAGCUAAUACCGCAUAACGUCGCAAGACCAAAGAGGGGGACCUUCGGGCCUCUUGCCAUCAGAUGUGCCCAGAUGGGAUUAGCUAGUAGGUGGGGUAACGGCUCACCUAGGCGACGAUCCCUAGCUGGUCUGAGAGGAUGACCAGCCACACUGGAACUGAGACACGGUCCAGACUCCUACGGGAGGCAGCAGUGGGGAAUAUUGCACAAUGGGCGCAAGCCUGAUGCAGCCAUGCCGCGUGUAUGAAGAAGGCCUUCGGGUUGUAAAGUACUUUCAGCGGGGAGGAAGGCGUUGAGGUUAAUAACCUCAGCGAUUGACGUUACCCGCAGAAGAAGCACCGGCUAACUCCGUGCCAGCAGCCGCGGUAAUACGGAGGGUGCAAGCGUUAAUCGGAAUUACUGGGCGUAAAGCGCACGCAGGCGGUCUGUCAAGUCGGAUGUGAAAUCCCCGGGCUCAACCUGGGAACUGCAUUCGAAACUGGCAGGCUAGAGUCUUGUAGAGGGGGGUAGAAUUCCAGGUGUAGCGGUGAAAUGCGUAGAGAUCUGGAGGAAUACCGGUGGCGAAGGCGGCCCCCUGGACAAAGACUGACGCUCAGGUGCGAAAGCGUGGGGAGCAAACAGGAUUAGAUACCCUGGUAGUCCACGCCGUAAACGAUGUCGACUUGGAGGUUGUGCCCUUGAGGCGUGGCUUCCGGAGCUAACGCGUUAAGUCGACCGCCUGGGGAGUACGGCCGCAAGGUUAAAACUCAAAUGAAUUGACGGGGGCCCGCACAAGCGGGUGGAGCAUGUGGUUUAAUUUCGAUGCAACGCGAGAACCCUUACCUACUCUUGACAUCCAGAGAACUUAGCAGAGAUGCUUUGGGUGCCUUCGGGAACUCUGAAAACAGGUGCUGCAUGGCUGUCGUCAGCUCGUGUUGUGAAUGUGGGUUAAGUCCCGCAACGAAGCGGCAACUCAUAUCUUGUGCCAGCGAUUAGGCCGGGACUCAAGAGAACUGCCAGGUGAAAUAAACUGGAAGAAGUUGUGGAUGACGUCAAGUCAUCAUGUCCUUUACGAGAUUAGCGCUUACACACACGGUGUGCAUCUACAAGAUGUGC